GAUGAACGCUGGCGGCGUGCCUAAUACAUGCAAGUCGAGCGAACAGACGAGGAGCUUGCUCCUCUGAUGUUAGCGGCGGACGGGUGAGUAACACGUGGAUAACCUACCUAUAAGACUGGGAUAACUUCGGGAAACCGGAGCUAAUACCGGAUAACAUGUUGAACCGCAUGGUUCAACAGUGAAAGACGGUCUUGCUGUCACUUAUAGAUGGAUCCGCGCCGCAUUAGCUAGUUGGUAAGGUAACGGCUUACCAAGGCAACGAUGCGUAGCCGACCUGAGAGGGUGAUCGGCCACACUGGAACUGAGACACGGUCCAGACUCCUACGGGAGGCAGCAGUAGGGGAUCUUCCGCAAUGGGCGAAAGCCUGACGGAGCAACGCCGCGUGAGUGAAGAAGGUCUUCGGAUCGUAAAACUCUGUUAUUAGGGAAGAACAAAUGUGUAAGUAACUAUGCACGUCUUGACGGUACCUAAUCAGAAAGCCACGGCUAACUACGUG
rnacentral:rRNA from 1 species